rnacentral:pre_miRNA from 1 species
AAGAGAGCUAUCCGUCGACAGUAUUGACACUAAACACUGUCAUGGAGUUGCUCUCUUUA